CUCCAGUGCCUCGUGGUCUUUUUCUCCCGCUUUAGGUGGGAGAGGAUGGCUAGAGUGGGCUGGAGUUGGGUAAGUCCCUUCCCCAGGUGUCAGUUAUGCUCUGCUGAAAGCCCAACAGGUUAGGCUCUGGUUAACUAAUUUCCCCUGAGGCUAGGCCUUGUUAAGAAGCACAGAGUGCUCUGGCUUAUUUCAGAAUCGUUCCUUUUCACCUUCCCUACCAGAAGCCCAAGGGGAUUUUUCUCUGAUAUUUACCGCAGGAACCUGGUCGAGCUCCUAAACAGAUACAGUAAAUAUGGAAGCAGCUGAUUCAAAAGUACAGGGAUAGUAUCAGCAGGCCCCUCUUCUGGUACAUAACGUGUUCCUUAAGACGCUUGGAAAUUCAAACAAUAGAGAUCUCUGUAUAUGCUUCUGGGGAGAGGGAAGAGGAUAAUUAAAAGAGAAACCUGUAAAGGCAAGAUUCCUGUGAGCGAGUUGGUGCUGCAACGUGCUGUCAGGAGUUCAUUAGACGGUCAACCGUGGAGAGCCUAGAUCAUCUGGGGACCUUGAACUUGAGAUGCCAACUUUAUUCUUUAAAAGGAUGAAUUUUAAUUCGACUCAAUUAAAUUCAACAAGUAUUUCUCUAUAUUCUACCUUGGACCGGUACUCAGAAUGUUCUUGCCAGUUAUUCUGAGAAACUGAAGAAACCGUGGUGUGAAUGUUCAGCGCCAGCUAUUUUUACUACUGUUAGAACUGAUCAGAUCAUUUAAGACACAUUUCAAAAUGCAUGACUGAUGACCAUGAGAUACAAUUCCCAAGGUUAAAUCUCCUACAAUCCUUCUAUUCCUUCCAUGCAUGUAAAUUUUGUUUGUCAAUUUUCAACUAUGGUCAGUAUAUUUUAGACUGUGUUUUAAUAAUAUAAAGAAGGGGAAAAAAUGGAAAUCUUAUCUUUCUGUCAAACCAAGCAUGUCAUUUGAGGAUAUAUCCUUGUGACAAACUUUAUUUGAGCUUACCCAAUUCCUAGCUUCAGAAGCUGGAAGAUACAUCGAAAGGUUUAGACUUGUCAAUGAGUCUGCCUGGAUUUGGAUCAAGAAACUUAAGAAAAAAAAUUUUCUCUUUUUGCCUUUAAAAACAUAUAUAAAACAUCAAAGGAUAUUUUCUGCUGUUCUCAAUUGUUGUGUGUAAACUGUGGUAGUUUUUGUUUUUAAUAGAUAAAUAAAAAUGUAAUGAAAAGAGAAUAUCAAAAAGAGAAUGUAGUUACCAAAUGUCCGUUAAGAGCUUUCUCUAAAGAAAAACUCUCCUGUGAAAGUUUGAACAUUGUAAGCCAUUUGCAUCUGAUAGAGAAUGGCAUUGCACACACUGGUAACAUUCAGUCCCUAGUCUCUGUAGCUAUUCUAUCUAAUUGUGUCAUUUCUACGUUUAACAGCUCUGAACUGUGCCACCCCUUGGGUCCUCACAGAUGCCCCCAGAUCGCUUGAAAUGUCUAAAAAGACCUCGGAACAUUAGAAAAUGUCAAUUGUUAGAAUAAUUUCUGCCUCUUACAACAAGAGAAAAUACUAUGGAUUUAAUAGUUCAUUUUUAAAAUGUUUUUAUCCACCAGUAACUGUCUAUUAGGAACAUUUCAGUUAUAAU
rnacentral:lncRNA from 1 species